GUUUUCCACUUACGUACGAAUCCACCUGUUGAUUCUAACUGGUUGAUUUGUUAGGAAGAUCUACACUUCACCUUCACCAGGGCUCUAACGUACCCGACACUGGUGGUUUCUGUCAUGUGGGCAACAAUGACGUCAUCCUAUGUUAUCCGGUUGACGGUGGUGCUUUUGCUAGCUGGACAAGCUUAUGGCGAUGUAACGCGAGAACUUAAUGGCUACCGCUACAUGGCGAUUACAAGCUCCCGCCGCAACUGGGACCAGGCAGAAGCAAGGUGUGUGUCAUACGG